GAUGAAGAACGUAGCGAAAUGCGAUACUUGGUGUGAAUUGCAGAAUCCCGUGAACCAUCGAGUCUUUGAACGCAAGUUGCGCCCGAAGCCAUUAGGCCGAGGGCACGCCUGCCUGGGCGUCACACGUCGUUGCCCCCCCAUCUACUCCUUCGGGAUUGCGGGGGGCGGAUGAUGGCCUCCCGUGCGCCUCGUCGCGCGGUUGGCAUAAAUGCCAAGUCCUCGGCGGCACACGCCACGACAAUCGGUGGUUGCGAAACCUCGGUUGCCCGUCGUGUGCGGUCGUCGCGCAUCGAGGGCUCGAAAAAAUUGCCGGGCUCCGGCUCGGCUUUCAACGCGACCCCAGGUCAGGCGGGGUUACCCGCUGAAUUUAAGCAUAUCAAUAAGCGGAGGA
rnacentral:misc_RNA from 1 species